UACGUAGGGCGCAAGCGUUAUCCGGAAUUAUUGGGCGUAAAGAGCUCGUAGGCGGUUUGUCGCGUCUGCCGUGAAAGUCCGGGGCUCAACUCCGGAUCUGCGGUGGGUACGGGCAGACUAGAGUGAUGUAGGGGAGACUGGAAUUCCUGGUGUAGCGGUGAAAUGCGCAGAUAUCAGGAGGAACGCCGAUGGCGAAGGCAGGUCUCUGGGCAUUAACUGACGCUGAGGCACGAAAGCGUGGGGAGCAAACAGG
rnacentral:rRNA from 1 species